AAAAAUAACCUAACCGUAACCAGCAGAGUGAAAAAACAAUACUGCGCAGAUGAAUUUGGAAGCCACUAUUAUUACAUCAUAUAAUCAAGACAAGAUUCUGAAACCCAGUUGAAAAAGAAGUUUACAAACAGCUUUUGGAAGGAUGGAAGCUGGGGCCUCUUUGUGGUGCCUGCUGUGACAACAAGGCUAUGACCCUCCCUCUCUUCAGAACAGAGAAGAGCCAAUUUAAAUUUGACUUCAUCUUCUUGUGGCUUAAAUGUUGACCGAGGACACGGUCACUGCGAGGGCUAUGGGUCAUGUAGCAUCUCCCUUGCCUCGCGCUCCAUACACGCCAUUCAGCUCCAUCUGUCCUCCAAGCAGCUCUGCAAGAGUCCCCUGUACAACUCACACUCCACUGGGGGAGCACGGGCAGUUGGAGCCAGCACAGGGCACGGUACUCAUGGCUCUUUCUGGACACGGGGUCCAAAAGUUUCCACACAGAUGCACAAGAUGGACGGCCAAGAUUUUGUACUCUGAAGUUCACUGCCUCAGCCCAGUUCUGCUGCAUAUCAGAUUUGAAGGACUUCCCAUCUGCCGCCUGCCUUUCCAACAGCACUUCACUCCUGCCCUCGCUUGUACCUGGAAACCAGGACCUCCUCUAAGGCUGGAUGCUGCUCCUCCCUUCCCUCGAGCCCCUCCUGAAAGACUUUUGGGCACAGCCUCGCUGCCAGCCUGUCGCUCUGUAAACCCAGACACAUGUAAUGAUGGCAAACCCAUGGCACAUGUAUUGUUUUUCUUUUAAGACAAGAGUUGGUAAUGUGUGAGUUGUUUUUUCUAAACUAAAACCUCAGUAUUCAGGUUUAAUUGUAGUGCUGGCACUUGGCAGUAAGUGGGUUUUGGGUUGCAGUUUGGGCACUCAUCUCUAAAAGGUUUGCCAUCACUGACACAGGGAAGCCCAGGUCAAUAUGGAAUGACUCCUUUUGCUUACCACUGGGCUGGUGUAUGUCACAAACCAAUACCAAGCCUAUGAACAUUUGUCAGUCAUCUGCUGUGUGCCAAACACUAGUCCAGGAGGAGAUAGGCUGUAUUUCCUUGAGUUUGGACACACUUUAUUCCCCUGAUAGUUUAACAUCUUUAAAAUGGGGGGGGGUAGGCAUUGCAGUCAGGGCUCUUACAAUUGCCACUGGACCCUUGUUAGUCACAGAGUAUUAAUGCCCUGGUCAGUUGAUUUCACAUAGAUGAGCUGAGCAUGUGGGUAUGUGCUUGUAAUCCUAACACUCUGGGAGGCUGAGGCAGGAGAAUCACAACCUGGGCAGCCUGAGCAACUUAGUGACUUAGAGAGACCCUGUCUCAAAACUAAAAAAUAAAAUAAGGGCUGGGGACAUAGCCCAGUGCAAAGGCCCUGGGUUUAAUCCCCAGUACUAGAAAAAAAAAAGCACAAGAGUGAUAAAUGAUACCAAAUUCUUCUUCAAAGUCCAGAAAUCUUUUACUAAGUAGAAAAUAAAAAUCCCAAGGGAUUAAAUGUGUCGUGGUGUAAUUGGCAACACCUUUUUUCUUUUUUGGUGCAUAAAAUAAUAGUGAAUCUAAAAAUUUGUUACUAUGUUGUACAACUUGAUGACUACUGUUUAAAACAACAGCACAUAGUUUGAAAUCAUUGAGAAUAGAUUUGAAGUAUUGUCACCACAAAAACUGGUUAAGUAUAGGAGGUAAUGUGUAAAUUAAUUCGCUAAAUUGAAUCAUUCCACAACACAUAU
rnacentral:lncRNA from 1 species